CGGCCGAUGUCUGAUUAGCUAGUUGGUGGGGUAAAGGCUUACCAAGGCAACGAUCAGUAGUUGGUCUGAGAGGACGGCCAACCACACUGGGACUGAGACACGGCCCAGACUCCUACGGGAGGCAGCAGUGGGGAAUUUUGGACAAUGGGCGAAAGCCUGAUCCAGCCAUGCCGCGUGAGUGAAGAAGGCCUUCGGGUUGUAAAGCUCUUUUAGUCGGAAAGAAAGAGUUGCAAUGAAUAAUUGUGAUUUAUGACGGUACCGACAGAAAAAGCACCGGCUAACUACGUGCCAGCAGCCGCGGUAAUACGUAGGGUGCGAGCGUUAAUCGGAAUUACUGGGCGUAAAGGGUGCGCAGGCGGUCUUGCAAGUCAGAUGUGAAAGCCCCGGGCUUAACCUGGGAAUUGCGUUUGAAACUACAAGGCUAGA
rnacentral:rRNA from 1 species